GUUUGUUAAGAAACAAAAAAAGGGAGUUUUGAGUUAGUGUGUAUGUUUUUAAAAGACACAAACAACAUCAUCUUAUUCAAUGGAAUCCAAGGGAAACAGAGUUUGGUCUUUAUAAUCAAAGAAGAUCAUGAUCCAUAGUAUCAGGAAAAUGCAAGAUGACCACAAAGCAACUGAGCAACAUCUUCUGUAUUCCUUAUAUAUCAAAACUCUUCUCGUGCUGACUCUACCACUUACUUAAUCAAAGUUGGCAUUAAUAUCACCUAUGAUAACAAUAAGCAUUGACAUGCUAAAUCUGAAACAACUUUUUCUGAAUUCAAGUCUUGGUCGCUCAUAUUUAUUUAGACACUGAUCAAUGUCAGCAUUACAUCCUCAUAGAAGUGUGACCCCUACCAUGAACUGCACAUGUGAGGGAUCUAGGCUGUGUGGUCCUUAUGAAUAGAAUGCCUGAUGACCUGAGGUGGAGCUGGUGAUGCUAGCACUGGGAGCAGCUGCAAAUAAUGCAUUAUGUAUUUCAGGUAUUCGAAGGCAGCUAUCGAAUUCUCCACCCAUCUGCUCUUUUCAGGCUCAGCCUCCCCAGCUCCAUCAGCUGUUCUCAUGUGACAUAGUUUCCAGACCUCUGACUUCUGUGGCCACCCUCCUCCGCUUGUUCAUAUGUCUUUUAAAAUGUGACACCCAGAAAGAGCCCUCUAUUGUGUCCUUGGAGUGCUCUAGGCAGCACACUACCUGCCUCGCGUAUUACCUUCAUUUGGAAAGUACAUUUCUGUCUAUCCAGCAUUAAAGCUGCACUGAUCUUUUCAGCAACUGCUUCGGACUGAGGUCUCACAGUGUUGUCCGUGCUUUCUUCAAGAAAAAUUUCUUAAAUUCUUACCAUUUUUCAAAAUACAUGUUAAAU